CCCUGAUAAGGGUGAGGUCGGUGGUUCAAGUCCACUCAGGCCUACCAAAUUCGCUCCCGUGCUUUGUUGUGGCAAAGCUCGCAUACUUCAGUAUGCUUCGCUUCACCACGCCGGGCCCGGAAACGAAUUGGGGAUGAGGUUUAACUACACUGUAUGGGGCUAUAGCUCAGCUGGGAGAGCGCCUGCUUUGCACGCAGGAGGUCUGCGGUUCGAUCCCGCAUAGCUCCACCAUCACUGUGGAACGUUGAUAAAAAAAUACUUCAGAGUGU
rnacentral:misc_RNA from 1 species